rnacentral:rRNA from 1 species
UACGUAGGUGGCGAGCGUUAUCCGGAAUUAUUGGGUGUAAAGAGCGCGCAGGUGGUUGAUUAAGUCUGAUGUGAAAGCCCACGGCUUAACCGUGGAGGGUCAUUGGAAACUGGUCGACUUGAGUGCAGAAGAGGGAAGUGGAAUUCCAUGUGUAGCGGUGAAAUGCGUGGAGAUAUGGAGGAACACCAGUGGCGAAGGCGGCUUCCUGGUCUGUAACUGACACUGAGGCGCGAAAGCGUGGGGAGCAAACAGGAUUAGAUA